AGAGUUUGAUCAUGGCUCAGGAUGAACGCUGGCGGUAUGCCUUACACAUGCAAGUCGUACGAGAGUUUUUAACUCAAGUGGCGGACGGGUGAGUAACACGUAAGAAUUUGCCUUUAGGAGGGGGACAACAUCUGGAAACGGUUGCUAAUACCCCAUAUACUUUCGAGUGAAACGGAUUUUUCUGCCUAAAGAGAAGCUUGCGGCUGAUUAGCUUGUUGGUGAGGUAAUGGCUCACCAAGGCGACGAUCAGUAUCUGGUUUGAGAGGACGAUCAGACACACUGGAACUGAGACACGGUCCAGACUCCUACGGGAGGCAGCAGUGGGGAAUUUUCCGCAAUGGGCGAAAGCCUGACGGAGCAAUACCGCGUGAGGGAUGACGGCCUAUGGGUUGUAAACCUCUUUUUUCAGGGAGGAAUAAAAUGACGUGUACCUGAAGAAUAAGCAUCGGCUAACUCCGUGCCAGCAGCCGCGGUAAGACGGAGGAUGCAAGUGUUAUCCGGAAUCACUGGGCGUAAAGCGUCUGUAGGUGGUCCAAUAAGUCAACUGUUAAAUCUUGAGGCUCAACCUCAAAAUCGCAGUCGAAACUAUUAGACUAGAGUAUAGUAGGGGUAAAGGGAAUUUCCAGUGGAGCGGUGAAAUGCGUAGAGAUUGGAAAGAACACCGAUGGCGAAGGCACUUUACUGGGCUAUUACUAACACUCAGAGACGAAAGCUAGGGUAGCAAAUGGGAUUAGAUACCCCAGUAGUCCUAGCCGUAAACAAUGGAUACUAGAUGUUGAACAGAUCGACCUGUGCAGUAUCAAAGCUAACGCGUUAA
rnacentral:rRNA from 1 species